GCAGGUGUGGUCAUUGCUGACAGCGAAUACCCUUCCAGAGUGGCCUUUACCUUGCUGGAGAAGGUGAGUGUUGUUGGACUAGACUAGGAGGUCAAGUGAGACGUGCUGAACCUGAAGCACGAGGGGUGAAUGCUCCAGAGACAUUUUCACCAUCCCUCUACCCAAGCCAGAAGACAUUUGAAAUCACUGCCUAUAUAUAUUUCUUCCUUGGUGUUGACGCUGGCCUUCAACUAACCUGUGCUCCUGCCAUGAUUACAUUAGCUCUCCUCUGAAAUUAGGCCACUGCUGCCGGCUCUCCCUGUGCUUCUGCUGAAGGUUCCUCAUUCUCUUCCUGUUGUUACUGCAGGCAGUCAUUACAGCUUUCUCCCCUGGUGGAGGUCAAUGGCUUCCUGGAGUUUGUUUGUUUGUUUGUUUGUUUGUUUUUGAGACAGGGUCUUACUGUGUAUCUUUGUCUUGCCUGGAACUCGUAAUGUAGACCAGGUUGGCCUCAAACUCAGAAUUUCACCUGACUUUGUCUCCUGAGUACUGAGAUUAAAGGCAUGUUGCAGCACGCCGAUUCCUACCCAUUCCAUCGAGUUUAGUACCCAGUGACUUCUCAUUGUAAACCAGAGACAGAAGUAUUUCCUUGUCCUGUUCCUCGUAACAUUGAAACACGUCCAAAGACCCCCCCCCCACCCCCUUUUUUUUUAUGGUU
rnacentral:lncRNA from 1 species